rnacentral:rRNA from 3 species
UUGCAGAAUUCCGCGAAUCAUCGAGUUUUUGAACGCAAGUUGCGCCCGAGGCUUGACCAAGGGCAUCUCUGCCAGAGCGUCAC